UACGAAGGGGGCUAGCGUUGCUCGGAAUCACUGGGCGUAAAGGGUGCGUAGGCGGGUCUUUUAAGUCAGGGGUGAAAUCCUGGAGCUCAACUCCAGAACUGCCUUUGAUACUGAAGAUCUUGAGUUCGGGAGAGGUGAGUGGAACUGCGAGUGUAGAGGUGAAAUUCGUAGAUAUUCGCAAGAACACCAGUGGCGAAGGCGGCUCACUGGCCCGAUACUGACGCUGAGGUGCGAAAGCUGGGUAGCGAACAGG
rnacentral:rRNA from 1 species